AGAGUUUGAUCCUGGCUCAGGAUGAACGCUGGCGGCAUGCCUAAUACAUGCAAGUCGAACGAGAGGAAGGAAAGCUUGCUUUUCUGAAUCUAGUGGCGAACGGGUGAGUAACACGUAGGUAACCUGCCCAUGUGCCCGGGAUAACUUCUGGAAACGGAUGCUAAAACCGGAUAGGUAGCAGACAAGCAUUUGACUGCUAUUAAAGUGGCUAAGGCCAUGAACAUGGAUGGACCUGCGGUGCAUUAGCUAGUUGGUGAGGUAACGGCCCACCAAGGCGACGAUGCAUAGCCGGCCUGAGAGGGCGGACGGCCACAUUGGGACUGAGACACGGCCCAAACUCCUACGGGAGGCAGCAGUAGGGAAUUUUCGUCAAUGGGGGGAACCCUGAACGAGCAAUGCCGCGUGAGUGAGGAAGGUCUUCGGAUCGUAAAGCUCUGUUGUAAGAGAAAAACGGCACUCAUAGGGAAUGAUGAGUGAGUGAUGGUAUCUUACCAGAAAGUCACGGCUAACUACGUGCCAGCAGCCGCGGUAAUACGUAGGUGGCGAGCGUUAUCCGGAAUGAUUGGGCGUAAAGGGUGCGUAGGUGGCAGAUCAAGUCUGGAGUAAAAGGUAUGGGCUCAACCCGUACUGGCUCUGGAAACUGAUCAGCUAGAGAACAGAAGAGGACGGCGGAACUCCAUGUGUAGCGGUAAAAUGCGUAGAUAUAUGGAAGAACACCGGUGGCGAAGGCGGCCGUCUGGUCUGGAUUCUGACACUGAAGCACGAAAGCGUGGGGAGCAAAUAGGAUUAGAUACCCUAGUAGUCCACGCCGUAAACGAUGAGAACUAGGUGUUGGGGGAAUAACUCAGUGCCGCAGUUAACGCAAUAAGUUCUCCGCCUGGGGAGUAUGCACGCAAGUGUGAAACUCAAAGGAAUUGACGGGGGCCCGCACAAGCGGUGGAGUAUGUGGUUUAAUUCGAAGCAACGCGAAGAACCUUACCAGGCCUUGACAUCCCUUGCAGAGAUAUAGAGAUAUAUCCGAGGUUAACAAGGAGACAGGUGGUGCAUGGUUGUCGUCAGCUCGUGUCGUGAGAUGUUGGGUU
rnacentral:rRNA from 1 species